rnacentral:rRNA from 1 species
GUGUCAGCCGCCGCGGUAAUACGUAGGGUGCAAGCGUUAUCCGGAAUUAUUGGGCGUAAAGAGCUCGUAGGCGGUUUGUCGCGUCUGCUGUGAACACUGGAGGCUCAACCUCCAGCCUGCAGUGGGUACGGGCAGACUAGAGUGCGGUAGGGGAGAUUGGAAUUCCUGGUGUAGCGGUGGAAUGCGCAGAUAUCAGGAGGAACACCGAUGGCGAAGGCAGAUCUCUGGGCCGUAACUGACGCUGAGGAGCAAAAGCGUGGGGAGCGAACAGGAUUAGAAACCCCCGUAGUCC